rnacentral:rRNA from 1 species
UACGGAGGGGACUAGCGUUGUUCGGAAUUACUGGGCGUAAAGCGCACGUAGGCGGAUUUGUAAGUCAGGGGUGAAAUCCCGAGGCUCAACCUCGGAACUGCCUUUGAUACUGCAAAUCUCGAGUCCGGGAGAGGUGAGUGGAAUUCCUAGUGUAGAGGUGAAAUUCGUAGAUAUUAGGAAGAACACCAGUGGCGAAGGCGGCUCACUGGUCCGGUACUGACGCUGAUGUGCGAAAGCGUGGGGAGCAAACAGGG